UUCCGGAUGAUUGAGUUUUUUUUUGGGUUUUUACUUAUUGUGCUUUCUUCCUCUUAAUGUUAAAAUCGAGAGAUUAUGUUAAAUCAUCAAAAGAAAUAUGUAAAAUUGAAGGAAAAAAAAACUUCAAAGCCAGCUGUUUUCUUCUUCUUCUUCUUCUUCUACCAUCUCUCUUUUUGGUCGCUUUCAAAAUUCCUCAAAUUCAUCCUCCGUUAAUCACCAGCAUUGUCUUUCUUACCGAUCUGACUAUCUCAACAUUCGAAAUCUCCGGUGUUAAAGCUUGAUCUGAAGAAUGGUUAGGCCUUCUGGAGAUGUUACUCUUGAUAGAGCUACGUAUAGUUGGCCAUGGCUAAAGACUGGUUUGGUGUGAAAGGGUGGUCUGAAAUUGGUGGGGACAAAAUUAUCCUUGGUAGUAGUACUUUAUUUCCAGCAUGUGUACCGG